rnacentral:rRNA from 1 species
UACGUAGGGUGCAAGCGUUGUCCGGAAUUAUUGGGCGUAAAGAGCUUGUAGGCGGUUUGUCGCGUCUGCUGUGAAAUUUCGGGGCUCAACCCCGAACUUGCAGUGGGUACGGGCAGACUAGAGUGUGGUAGGGGAGACUGGAAUUCCUGGUGUAGCGGUGAAAUGCGCGAUAUCAGGAGGAACACCGAUGGCGAAGGCAGGUCUCUGGGCCAUAACUGACGCUGAGAAGCGAAAGCUGGGGAGCGAACAGG